UACGGGGGGGGCAAGCGUUGUUCGGAAUUACUGGGCGUAAAGGGCUCGUAGGCGGCCAACUAAGUCGGACGUGAAAUCCCCAGGCUCAACCUGGGAACUGCGUCCGAUACUGGAUGGCUUGAAUCCGGGAGAGGGAUGCAGAAUUCCAGGUGUAGCGGUGAAAUGCGUAGAUAUCUGGAGGAAUACCGGUGGCGAAGGCGGCAUCCUGGACCGGCAUUGACGCUGAGACGCGAAAGCGUGGGGAGCAAACGGG
rnacentral:rRNA from 1 species